GAUGAACGCUAGCGGCAGGCUUAAUACAUGCAAGUCGAGGGACAGCACAGGUAGCAAUACUGGGUGGUAACCGGCAAACGGGUGCGGAACACGUACACAACCUUCCUUUCAGUGGGGGAUAGCCCAGAGAAAUUUGGAUUAAUACCCCGUAAUAUAGUUGAAUGGCAUCAUUUGAUUAUUAUAGCUACGGCGCUUAAUGAUGGGUGUGCGGCUGAUUAGAUAGUUGGCGGGAUAACGGCCCACCAAGUCUACGAUCAGUAGCUGAUGUGAGAGCAUGAUCAGCCACACGGGCACUGAGACACGGGCCCGACUCCUACGGGAGGCAGCAGUAAGGAAUAUUGGUCAAUGGACGCAAGUUUUAACCAGCCAUGCCGCGUGAAGGAGUAAGGUCGUCUGGAUUGUAAACUUCUUUUAUUUGGGACGAAAAAGGGCCUUUCUAGGUCAACUGACGGUACCAGAUGAAUAAGCACCGGCUAACUCCGUGCCAGCAGCCGCGGUAAAAC
rnacentral:rRNA from 1 species